UUUGGCUAGGUGACAAAACCAAGCCCUAUAACAGCCAAAACUAAAGGUCUUUUAUAUAAAAUAUUUCACAACCUGUUUUGCUCCCACAGAUUGACAGGGAGACAUGAUAGCUGCAGAUGUGGAAAUGCCAAUAACAAAGAAGACAAGGCACAGCAAACUUCAGGCUGAGGCGCCACAGGCUUCACCCUGACCCUAUCUGUAAAUAACAGCGGCCUUUUAAUAUUGCGUGGUAACAAGAUAUACAAGUGGUUCCCACCUAGAUACUCAGGGUGCUGUGGACUCAGUUAUCUGACAUCCUCUGUUACUAGGUACUCCACUUUAAAUGGCAGCCAAAUUACAAAUGGGCCUUUUUGUUCAUAAAGUGGUGCCACACAGAGGUAAUGAAUGUGACUUUGUAAAAAACCCACCUAUAUAUCACAAAUCUAUGUUCUUUUCAGUCCUCAGAACUUUUCCCCUGGCAUUUGGAACUUAAGAAAAUGAAAGGGCAGUUUAAAAUCUUUCCAUGGCAAUAGAACAAGACUUCAGUAUCACUACCCAAGCCUUGGGAGCACUCCAGUCAGAAGUCAACAGUCCAGCUUCUGCUGUACUUUAGAACUGCUGCAGCCUGAAUGUGCUGACAGCCCAACAGGGAGGAGCUUGUGCAGCUAUUGGUGACAAAUGCUGUUUCUACAUAAACCGCUCAGGGCAAGUAGAGACUGAUCUGCACCUCUUGAAGGUCAAGCAAACCCUCUGAGGGCAAGGGGAAAGCUCCUCCAAUGCCCAUACACAAGUGAAGAAGAUCAAGAAGAAUUUAUCACAAACCUGCCUUGCUAUACAAGUGUCUGAUGUACAAAAGACUGAAGUGAAAUACUUGUUAGCACCAAUAAAAUAUAACUCAGUGACAAAUUUUCUAAAAAGAACUUUGUAUCUAGGAUUGAUAGGCUUGGAAAAAUCUUACAAACUUUUCUUCAACAUCUGAAAGUGUUUUUCAGUCUAUAGUAAUUGUCAGGCCUCUGAGCCUAAGCUAAGCCAUCAUAACCCCUGUGACCUGCACGGAUACAUCCAGAUGACCUGAAGCAACUGAAGAACCACAAAAGAAGUGAAAUAGUCAAUUCCUGCCUUAACUGAUGACAUUCUACCACUGUGAUUUGUUCCUGUCCCACCCUAACUGAUCAAUUGAGCUUGUGACAUUCCUUCUCCUGGACAAUGAGUCUCAGGAGCUCCCCACCGAGCACCUUGUGACCCCCACCCCUACCCUCAAGAGAAAACCCCUUUAACUGUAAUUUUCCACUACCUACCCAAAUCCUAUAAAACUGGCCCACCCCAUCUCCCUUUGCUGACUCCUUUUUCAGACUCAGUCUGCCUGCACCCAGGGAAUCAAAAAGCUUUAUUGCUCACACAAAGCCUGUUUGGCCGUCUCUUCACACAGACGUGUGUAACAGUAAUAAUAUUAUUUUAUUUUUUUGAGACAGGGUUUCACUCUGUUGUGCUGGCUGGAGUACAGGGGUGUGAUCAUGGUUCACUGCAGCCUCAACCUCCCUGGGCUCUAGUGAUCCUCCCACCUCAGCUUCCUGAGUAGCUGGGACCACAGAUGUGCACCACCACACCCAGCUAUUUCUUGGUAGAGAUGUUUUUUUGCCAUGUUGCCCAGGCUGGUCUUGAACUUCUAGGCUCCAGUGAUCCACUUGCUUUGAUCUCCCAGUGUUGGGAUUACAGGCAUGAGCCACCAUGCCCAGCCCUUAGUAAUAAUUUUAAAAAGUCUUUUAGUUUGAAGUUUUUGAUAGCCUGAGAACUGAGGCAGCAUCUUCUUAAAUUAUUCUUGUAAAAUCUGUGGGUUUGAAGUUUGAUUAAUGAGAACACAAUGUGUUUUUCCAAUGCUUCAUAUAGUGUCCCUUGUUCACAUUCCUGUUUUAUUCUUACUGCUUGUGUUCUUUAUUAUGGCUGGAUUGGUACUAGAAAAAACAAACCUUGUUUGUGUAUGAGUGUGGAUGUGUCUGACAAGUACUUGAAAUGUGACUUACAUGAUUUUGCUGUUUUUCUUUUUCAUGAAAUAUUAAGGUGGGAAAGUUGACAUUUUGCUUUUAAUUCAACAUAAUAUGAUGUGAAGAAUUUCCAAAUAAGAUUGUUUUCAUGUAAGACUCAUGGCCUAGAUGCAAUUAAAAUAAUAAAAUAAAAAU
rnacentral:lncRNA from 1 species